UACGGAGGGGGCUAGCGUUGUUCGGAAUUACUGGGCGUAAAGCGCACGUAGGCGGCCCGUCAAGUCAGAGGUGAAAGCCCGGAGCUCAACUCCGGAAUUGCCUUUGAAACUAGCAGGCUUGAACGUCGGAGAGGUGAGUGGAAUUCCGAGUGUAGAGGUGAAAUUCGUAGAUAUUCGGAGGAACACCAGUGGCGAAGGCGGCUUCCUGGCCUGUUCUUGACGCUG
rnacentral:rRNA from 1 species